CGUAUCACCCAAGACAACUUUACGGAGUUGACGAUUGACGGAGCGAAGCGACGUCAAAGCGUUCAUUAAAGUCGAGUUGGCUUAGGGAUACGUUCGUUGGGUAGGGGAGCGUUCUGUAAGCCUGUGAAGGUGUGUCGUGAGGCAUGCUGGAGGUAUCAGAAGUGCGAAUGCUGACAUAAGUAACGAUAAAGCGGGUGAAAAGCCCGCUCGCCGGAAGACCAAGGGUUCCUGUCCAACGUUAAUCGGGGCAGGGUGAGUCGACCCCUAAGGCGAGGCCGAAAGGCGUAGUCGAUGGGAAACGGGUUAAUAUUCCCGUACUUGGUGUUACUGCGAAGGGGGGACGGAGAAGGCUAUGUUGGCCGGGCGACGGUUGUCCCGGUUUAAGCGUGUAGGUGUGUGUUCCAGGUAAAUCCGGUUCACUUUAACACUGAGGCGUGACGACGAGGCACUACGGUGCUGAAGCAACAAAUGCCCUGCUUCCAGGAAAAGCCUCUAAGCAUCAGGUAACACGAAAUCGUACCCCAAACCGACACAGGUGGUCAGGUAGAGAAUACCAAGGCGCUUGAGAGAACUCGGGUGAAGGAACUAGGCAAAAUGGUGCCGUAACUUCGGGAGA
rnacentral:rRNA from 1 species